GUUCUUUAGAUUAUACUUUAAGAUCUGACCUGCCCUAUGAUUAAUAAAUUAAAUGGCUGCGGUAUUUUAACCGUACAAAGGUAGCAUAAUCACUUGUCUUUUAAUUGAAGGCUAGAAUGAAUGGUUUGAUGAAAAAUUAACUUUUUUAAACUAAUUAUUUGAAUUUAAUUUUUAAUUUAAAAAGAUUAAAUUACUUUAUGGGACGAGAAGACCCUUUAGAAGUUUAUUUAAAAAUAAAAUAAAUAAUUUUUGUUUUAUAUUUUAUUUAUUUUUUUUUUAAAUUUUGUUGGGGUGACAUAUAAAAUUAAUUAACUUUAUAAUUUUAAACUCAAAAAUUUUUGUUUAUUUGAUCCAGAAUUUCUGAUUAUUAGAUUAACUUACCUUAGGGAUAACAGCGUAAUUAAUUUGGAGAGUUCAUAUUGAUAAAUUAGAUUGCGA
rnacentral:rRNA from 1 species